GGGUAAUUAGCUCAGUCAGGUAGAGCGGUACAUGAUUAUUUAAUGUUGGUAAUUUGUCAUGGUAUUAUUUAAAGGUUUCAUUCAUGUACAGGUCGUGGUGUUCAAGUCCCACAUUACCUA
rnacentral:tRNA from 2 species